AUUGAACGCUGGCGGCAUGCCUAACACAUGCAAGUCGAACGGUAACAGGGCGCCUGCUGCUGGAUUGAGGCGAACAGGGGAGUAUUAUGCCUAGAAAUCCGCCUGGGAGGGGGGGAAAACGUCCUAAGACGUGCUAUUAUCCCACAUACGCUGAGGGUGAGAACGUGGGGGAACUCCGGACUGUUUGGCCUCGCGCGAUUGUAGGGGCCGAUGUCUGAUUAGGUAGGUGGUGGGGUAAAGACGUACCAAGCCGACACUCGGUAGCUGGUAUGAGAGGACGACCAGCCACACUGGAACUGAGACACGGCCCAGACUCCUACGGGAGGCAGCAGUGGGGAAUAUUGGACAAUGGGCGAAAGCCUGAUCCAGCAAUGCCGCGUGCGGGAAGAAGGUCUUCGGGUUGUAAAGCGCUUUAGGUCGGAAGGAAGAGGAGCUGGUUAAUACCUGGCGCUGAUGACGGUACCGAAAGAAUAAGCACCGGCUAACUUCGUG
rnacentral:rRNA from 1 species